ACAUGCCUACAACAUAGAAUUAACACACCGGAUCCCAUUAGAAAUCCAUAGUUAAGCGCACUCAGGCUAGAGUAGUACUGGGAUGGGUCACCUCGCAAGAAUUCCCUGUGUUUUACAUGCC
rnacentral:rRNA from 1 species